CUUCAGGCGGUAGGUGAACUCUGGCUUCUGCACCUGCACAGCCGCGCAGACCAUAUGGCUUCCUGAGGCCAGCAGGUGCUAACACACACCUCAGGAAACACUUUUCACCCAGUUCUCCCCCAAGUGAGCCCCUAAAUGUGCCUCCACGCCCAGCUCCAGCUCCUCGUGCAAGGUCUUCCUCCCACCUCUGCCCACCCUGGGCCAUGCUUAGGCAGCUGCCUCUCGAGGCUGACGUGGUGUCAUGCUCAUCUCUGAGGGUGUGCGGUUCCUGGUGUGGCGAUGGCUGAUUUACCGGUCUGCAGCCAGAGCCUGUUGCCCACAUACUUCUCAAGCCUCGCUCACCUGUGUGCCUUGGCAGAAA